AAGGGAGACCUAAUUCCGGUAGGAGACGAAAAAAAAGUAGUCCCAACCAAGAAUCAAUCCCAAAAGGUCGGAACGAGGUAUGAGGCUUUCAAACUAGGUUCUGGGUUCAUAAAAGACCUGAAUCAGGAACAAGGGCUAUUAGCUCAGGUGGUUAGAGCGCACCCCUGAUAAGGGUGAGGUCCCUGGUUCGAGUCCAGGAUGGCCCGCCUGCACAGGUGGCAAAAACAAGAGAAGCUCCGAAUCAGCACCUUAUCUUAUAUACAUAUAUAAGAGAGAAUGCUGGCUCUGAGUACAGAGUCCAGAGGAACCUUGAAAACUGCAUAGAGCUAGGUGAAAAAGCCAAAAAAGAAGACCGCAA
rnacentral:tRNA from 1 species